rnacentral:rRNA from 1 species
CAGCAGCAGCCACGGGAAUACGUAGGUGGCAAGCGUUGUCCGGAAUUAUUGGGCGUAAAGGGCUCGCAGGCGGUUUCUUAAGUCUGAUGUGAAAGCCCCCGGCUCAACCGGGGAGGGUCAUUGGAAACUGGGAAACUUGAGUGCAGAAGAGGAGAGUGGAAUUCCACGUGUAGCGGUGAAAUGCGUAGAGAUGUGGAGGAACACCAGUGGCGAAGGCGACUCUCUGGUCUGUAACUGACGCUGAGGAGCGAAAGCGUGGGGAGCGAACAGGAUUAGAGACCCCAGUAGUCCCUGUCUCUUAUAC